ACACAUGCAAGUCGAACGAAGAGGGUUAGAAUGAGAGCUUCGGCAGGAUUUCUUUCCAUCUUAGUGGCGGACGGGUGAGUAACGCGUGGGUAACCUGCCUCACACAGGGGGAUAACAGUUGGAAACGGCUGCUAAUACCGCAUAAGCGCACAGUACCGCAUGGUACAGUGUGAAAAACUCCGGUGGUGUGAGAUGGACCCGCGUCUGAUUAGCUAGUUGGCAGGGCAACGGCCUACCAAGGCGACGAUCAGUAGCCGACCUGAGAGGGUGACCGGCCACAUUGGGACUGAGACACGGCCCAAACUCNUACGGGAGGCAGCAGUGGGGAAUAUUGCACAAUGGGGGAAACCCUGAUGCAGCGACGCCGCGUGAGCGAAGAAGUAUUUCGGUAUGUAAAGCUCUAUCAGCAGGGAAGAAGAAAUGACGGUACCUGACUAAGAAGCACCGGCUAAAUACGUGCCAGCAGCCGCGGUAAUACGUAUGGUGCAAGCGUUAUCCGGAUUUACUGGGUGUAAAGGGAGCGCAGGCGGAAGGCUAAGUCUGAUGUGAAAGCCCGGGGCUCAACCCCGGUACUGCAUUGGAAACUGGUCAUCUAGAGUGUCGGAGGGGUAAGUGGAAUUCCUAGUGUAGCGGUGAAAUGCGUAGAUAUUAGGAGGAACACCAGUGGCGAAGGCGGCUUACUGGACGAUAACUGACGCUGAGGCUCGAAAGCGUGGG
rnacentral:rRNA from 1 species